ensembl:lncRNA
CUAUGAAUGAAACACUGCAGUGAGUUUUCAUCGAGCUUCUGUAUAGCAGCCCUUUUCUCUCUCCUACUCUAACAAGUGUAAUCCUGCAACACAAAAUUGUGCAAUUCAUGAGUAAUUCAUUGCUCAGUUUCUUAUUCAUCUACGUUUUGCGUAAGGGUCUCGUGGAAAUUAGCCAUCUUCUGAGUCCUUUCACAGCAGAGAGAAAGCGAGUGAGUCACACCCUGGAACGUAAGGGUUCUUACACUGUAAGGAUUGAAAAAGCAUACUAAUAUAAUGUACAUGUGUGAGAAAGAGCUAAUACUGAAGUGAACAAGUGCAACAGAACUAAGGUUUAUAUUGAAAAGAUAUGGAUUUGAAGAGUGGUUUCAGUGGAUGAGGAAUUGGUUGGAUUAUUUCAGAGGAUUAUGGUCAAAGGCGGAGGCUGGUGGUGAGUGGUGGCCCCAGGGAGUCCACCUUGGGAUGUAUUCAUCAACAUCUUUAUAAAUGACCUAAAUAGUGGGAUCGAGUGCACCUUCAACAAGUUUGCUGAUCACAUUAAGCUGAGUGGUGGAGUUGAUAUAACAGAAGGAAGGAAUGCCGUGCAAAGAGACAGACUCGAUAAGUGGGCCCACAGAACCUAGUGAGGUUCAACAAGGCCAAGUGGUGUAUUUGAGUUGGAGCAAUCCCAGACGUCCACAAACUAGAAGAAGAAUUCAUUGGGAGCAGCCCUGCAGAGAAGGACUUGGGGUUUCUGAUGGAUAAAGAGCUUGAUGCAAGCCAACAGUACGUGCUUGCAGUGCAGAAGGCCAACUGUCUCCUGAGCUGCAUAAUAAAGGUGUUGCCAGCAGGGUGAGGGAAGUGUCUGCCCUCUGCUCUGCCCGUGUGGCUCCACCUGGAGUACUGUGCUCAGGUCUGGGGCCCUCAGCAUAAAGAAAGACUUAAAGCUGUUGGUGCAGAUGGAGGAAGGCCACAGAGAUGAUCAUCUCUCUUAUGUGGAAAAGUUGAGGGAUCUGGGCAGGUUCUGUUUGGAGAAUAGAAGUCUCUGGUGAGACUCCAGUGAAUGGAGUUUACAAAUAUGAGGGAGAUUACAUGAUUUGAUAAUGAUGGGACAAGGAAGAAUGGUUUUAAACUAAAAGAGGGGAGGCUUAGGUUAGAUAUUAUGCAGAAUUUUUUUUAUAUAGGACAGUGGUAAGGCACUUGAACAGGUUACCCCAUCCCUGGAGGCAUUCAAGGUGAUGUUGGAUCGGGCCCUGGGCAGCCUGACCUAGUGGUUGGCAAUCCUGCCCAUGGCAAGAUUGAUUAGAACAUGGCAAGAUGGGUUAGAACUGGAUGGUAUUAAAGGUCCCUUCCAACUCAAGCCAUUCUAUGAUUUCAUCUAUAAAAAAUGUGUUUUAUGGAACAAAAUUAGCACCCCACUUGUACUACUUCAAAAGAACAGUAAAUUCUCUUCUGAAACCAAAAGCAAAUUUUAAAUUAAGAUUUCUUUCUUAUUUUUGCAGGAAAUACAUUUCAAAAAGUUCUGACUUUUUAGUAAAAUUUAUCAAGGAAACCAACCAGCAAAGUCAGGUGCUGAAGGAUUUGGGGAGAAAUAGGAGUGCUGUGCUUUGCCAGAAAGGUCGCAUGCGAUCAGCCUCAGCAUACACUAGAGAGAAGCUCCCCAUGAAGAUCUGCAGAACUUGAAGAGUGAGAACAGGACCCUGCAGUUAUAGAGAGAAGGGCCUCACAGCAAGAAAAGGGAAAGUAGCUUCACAAAGUAGAAAUAAGGGGCAAAUAGAGAUAGUUUAGGUAGAGAGUGUUAGAAAACAAGGGAUUCCAAGCACUUUCACAGACACUAGGUCUGGAAUAACAAGAAGGAUGAAGGCCAUAAAGAUAAGUACUGGAGAGCAGCUCAAAAACAUUUGGCAGGGAGGUGAUUAGAUGUCUACAGGGCAAGCUGAAACCAGUUUGGGGGAUGCCCCCCCCUUCAGGGUCAGAAGUUUGCAGUGAGGAAGACUAUGAGCCUUCGCGAGGAAGACUAUGAGCCUUCAUCAUCACGACCUACUACACAUGCGCAAGGGGGGGAGGGACUGCAUGCUACUGGGCUCUCAGGAAUGUAAUGAACAUGUAUCCAAAUUCCUGUCAACUAUUGAUUAUGUAUUAGUUCGACCUAUAUCUAUAGCACGAUUUCUCCUGACGGUGUGCAAGUUAGGUGGAACGAUCCCCUUUGCACCAGGGUGUACACGCGUCACCAAUAAACACAUACCUGCUCUAUAUCCUCACUGGCUAUAGGGUCUGAUUUCUGCACAUCAAACUACCUCUUUCUUUUUCCACACACAAACCUGCGAAACUUACCUCUGAAGUGCCAAAACUUGUUUCCACUUCCAAACAGACCUCCCUCUGACAUGGGCAGACUGAUACCACCUCUUUUCAUUUUGUCCCUGCAUAUAUCCCUACCCAUUUCAUGUCUCUCUUUACUACUCUGUGCACCAGUGGUGUGAGACAGAGAUUUUUUUGUUCUGUAACUAUAUACUUUGCAGCAUCAAGGAAUCUCGGUCUUGAGUAUGCCUCCAAAGUGUUGCUGUGGUAGAAAUAAUUAUGCAGUGGAAAAAUAGAACUGGAUGAUCUUAUAGCUUUUUCUUUGCCUCAGGCCACGAAGACAAACUGGAAAGAACUAUUCAUUAUUUCUGCUGAGUUAUAUAAUUGCCAAGUCCUUUGCAGAAGGUUGAUAAUCAUGAUAAUUCUCAUUUUAUAUUGGGCAUAGACCAGAA